rnacentral:rRNA from 1 species
GAAAUCAAGCCCGGUAAAAGAUAAUCACCAGGAAACGAGGAAGGAAAGAAGGAGAGCAGAGAGAGUGUGUGAGUGAGGUUCCUUCUUCUCCGAAUCUUUUUCUUUACUAAAAAGCCAGGAGUAGUAUACUAAACAAGAAAGAGAAAUCUCCAGCCUUGUUUUCUUCCUCUCCGUCUGCGUCCUCGGGAAGAAACUAGGGUAGGGUAGGAGGAAAAGCGGAGAGAGGGGACGGGGCCAUGCCCAUGGUGAGGAAGCAUGGAUGGCAACUCCCAGCACACACAUUCCAGAUCGUCGCAAUUACUGUUUUCUUCCUUCUGGUGGUUGCAUUUUAUGCCUUCUUUGCACCGUUUUUGGGAAAGCAAAUCCUUGAGUAUGUCGCAGUCGGUAUCUACACUCCUGUGGCAUUCGCUGUCUUCAUCCUUUAUAUCCGGUGCACUAGUAUAAACCCUGCAGAUCCUGGGAUCAUGUCAAAGUUUGACGAUGGCCAUGUCAAUGCACCAGAAAGUAAUACUGGCUUGCAGGGCACCAAUAUGCCUGCAAAAACUGGCAUUGGUACUGGAACCAACUCCCCAACAUCUACUUGUAGAAGCUCUCUAGAUGGGCGUACUAACCAUGGAGGUUUGGCUGCUGGAGAUACAGAUAUAAAUAUAAGAAUGCAACCACUAAAAAGAAGAUCAGGGUGCUACUUCGGAGGCUUUAUUUGUGCUUUCUUUGUUAAGGAGGAUUGCAGGAAGUCUGAUGAUUCAGAGAAUCAAGUUGAUGCAGAAGAUGCACUGUUUUGCACAUUAUGUAAUGCUGAGGUUCGCAAAUUCAGUAAACAUUGCAGAAGUUGUGACAAGUGUGUGGAUGGAUUUGAUCAUCACUGCCGGUGGCUAAAUAACUGUGUUGGACGCAAGAACUAUUUCACAUUUUUUGCUCUGAUGACUACUAGUCUCCUCUGGCUUGCUAUUGAAGUUGGAGUAGGCAUUGCUGUUCUUGUUAUGUGCUUCGCCAACACGAAUGCAGAAAAAAUUAUUCAAGACAAGCUUGGGAAUGGAUUAACUCGUCUUCCGUUUGCAACUAUCGUAGGAAUAUUUACUCUUCUUUCUCUAGUUGCCUGCGUACCUUUGGGAGAACUCUUCUUCUUCCACAUGCUAUUGAUCAGAAAGGGGAUCACCACUUAUGAAUACGUUGUUGCAAUGAGAGCUAUGAGUGAAGUGCCUCAAGAUGAGGAGGAAGAUGAGAGAGCAAACAUUAUUUACUCCCCAACAAAUUCAGCAACUAGUGGGUUCAGCGGCGGAAGUUCACUUGGUCUUCACUACAAGGGUGCAUGGUGCACACCUCCAAGGAUUUUUGUCGAUCAGGAUGAAGUUAUCCCACAUUUGGAGCGUGGCAUGGCACCAUCUACCGUCGACCCUGAUGCCACUGGACAUGCUGAAAGGCCAAACAAAGCCAAGAGGCAAGUCAAAAUCAGUGCCUGGAAACUUGCAAAGCUGGACGGCAAUGAGGCGAUGAAAGCUGCUGCAAGAGCUCGGGCAUCAUCCUCCGUCCUCCGGCCCGUAGGUGCGCGCGGCCCUGGCUCCACUGGCAACUCGCAUCCUCAGAGUAUCGCGAGCCAGGAUGACUACGAGACCGGCACGCAGAGUGCUAGCAGUUUGAGCAGCCCGGUCCACAUCCACAAGCUUGCACCUCGCACCCAGAUGAAUGUGCCGCCGCCUCGACCGCCGGAGGGGCCUGGUUUUCCAACCACGCAGGCAACAACCAACCCAAUAAUGUUCCGGUCGGCAACAUCCUACGCUCGCGAGAACCAUAGAGCGUCGGUUGUUUGGGAUCAAGAUGCUGGUCGGUAUGUGUCUGUGGCAUCCGCACCUGCAAGACCAGUGGGAGCUGCUGCUGGUUCUUCUACUAGAGCGCCACGUUUCUUGGAAAACCCAAGUGGUGGCAGAAAUCUUGCGCCAAUGAGUGCCGCUUCCUCGGCAUUACCAUCUGGACAGCCAUCUGAGAGACUGGCCUACUCUGGACAGUCGAUAUUCUUGGGCGGGCCGGUUCUGGGUGCUGCUGCUGAAUCUCGAACGAAUGAGGCCAACACAAGAGCACGGCCGGAUGACAGUGGGGAGCUCAACGCCGAUCAGCACCAUGCAAGGGGGAGUGGGGAGAGGGGGCCAACGGCCGAGUCUUUCCCGGCGGGAACAUUUCAAAAGAAACCACCAUUCAACAGGUGAAGCGCAAAGAAACGAUUACGGAUGACAGCGAACCGUCCUGCCAGAUCAUAGCUGCGCCAUGAGGACAUGCCAAGAUAUGUGAGCAAUCACAGGUCCAGUGACUGCAGCUGCAAGCCUAGAAGAAUCUGCUGUCCAUCUUUGGAGUAUGAAAGGGGGAUCAUUUACUGUCAAGUCAUGCAUCUGAAUUGAACAUAACAUUUCUUUCUCAGAAGACCCAGUGACAUAUGAAACCGAAAUCGGGAAACAAAAGCAGAACAGCCAGUUGGCUUCGGUGUAACAAUUUUUGUUCCCUCGUUGUGGUGCUUGGGAGUAGCUUCGUUUAACAGGAAAUUAAAACAUAUCAUGAUAUUUAAGAGCUUCUCCAAGGGAGGCCCC